ACCUUCUGUUGAUCUGACUAUAGCUGAUCCGACUUCUUUGAGUCCUCGAUGUCUAAAGGUAUAUAAAAUUGUUCGCAAACUUGAUGAAAAUGUUGUGAUAAAGAUGGAGCGUGGUAUUGUGGGCGAUGUUGACUAUCCCUUACAACUUGACCCGUUGGAGAUUAUGUGUUUCUUAAGGAUGGAGACGUUAGAUGUUUCCAUAUUGCAGUUCUUUAUAAGAUGAACGGACAGGGUAUAUCAACGUCACCAUGCAAUAUGGCCAAAAACAAUGCUAUCUAGCGCCAUAUAUUUUAAAUGACCAUUGGAUGUUGAUGGCAAUUUGUCCUCAACUUAAUGAAAUCUAUUGGUUUGAUUCAAUUGGAGGCCAGCCACGUGAUGACAUCAAAGAUAUUGUUGAAAA